GACGAACGCUGGCGGCGUGCUUAACACAUGCAAGUCGAGCGGUAAGGCCCUUUCGGGGGUACACGAGCGGCGAACGGGUGAGUAACACGUGGGUGACCUGCCCUCAGCUCUGGGAUAAGCCUGGGAAACCGGGUCUAAUACUGGAUAUGACUCCAUGACGCAUGUUGUGGGGUGGAAAGCCUUGUGCGGCUGAGGAUGGGCCCGCGGCCUAUCAGCUUGUUGGGUGGGGUGANGGCCUACCAAGGCGACGACGGGUAGCCGGCCUGAGAGGGCGACCGGCCACACUGGGACUGAGACACGGCCCAGACUCCGUACGGGAGGCAGCAGUGGGGAAUCUUGCGCAAUGGGCGAAAGCCUGACGCAGCGACGCCGCGUGA
rnacentral:rRNA from 1 species